rnacentral:rRNA from 1 species
UCGAUUUGGAGUUUGUUGCCUAGAGUGAUGGGCUCCGAAGCUAACGCGAUAAAUCGACCGCCUGGGGAGUACGGCCGCAAGGUUAAAACUCAAAUGAAUUGACGGGGGCCCGCACAAGCGGUGGAGCAUGUGGUUUAAUUCGAUGCAACGCGAAGAACCUUACCUGGUCUUGACGUCCACAGAAUCUUGCAGAGAUGCGAGGGUGCCUUCGGGAACUGUGAGACAGGUGCUGCAUGGCUGUCGUCAGCUCGUGUUGUGAAAUGUUGGGUUAAGUCCCGCAACGAGCGCAACCCUUAUCCUUUGUUGCCAUUGGUUCGGCCGGGAACUCAAAGGAGACUGCCGUUGAUAAAGCGGAGGAAGGUGGGGACGACGUCAAGUCAUCAUGGCCCUUACGACCAGGGCUACACACGUGCUACAAUGGCGUAUACAAAGGGAGGCGACCUCGCGAGAGCAAGCGGACCUCAUAAAGUACGUCUAAGUCCGGAUUGGAGUCUGCAACUCGACUCCAUGAAGUCGGAAUCGCUAGUAAUCGUGAAUCAGAAUGUCACGGUGAAUACGUUCCCGGGCCU